UGGUAUUUCAUAAUUUUGAUGUCUUCACUAUUAUUUAACAAUGUAGAAAAUAGUAAAAAAUAAUUAAAACCUUUGAAUGAGUAGGUAUGUCCAAACUUUUGACUGGUACUGUAUAUUCACUUUCUGGAUCUGCAGCUCCAAAUUUACCGUAAAAAUCAGUAUCACAGUUAUCACUAACCUUGUAACAUUGCAUACUGUUCGACAAUGCAAACAACUUUUCCUCUAAAACAUAUUAACUACACUUGAAUAAUGCAACGAUUCACAAGUAUAUAGACAAUUAAGGGGUUUAUUUUCAUGUUCGUACACGCAUUAAAUGUAGCUUGCAAGACACUACACAGAUAGCAUGUUAGCAUAUCAAACAUGAACAAUUCCCCUCUCAUUCGAAUAUGAAAGUACAGUUUCAGCACAUUAAAGUUACCUUAGAACAAACCAGGCUUCAUUUGAUCAGUAUCAUGGAAGUCAUUAUAUGAGGUCAAUGCAAAAUUGCGACUGAAAACGUUUUUCCUGGUGAGUUGAUCAGCUUCAUGCUGCAUGCUUCUUGACUGGAUUGUGACUCUGAGCAGCCAAAGCAGGAAAACACAGUUCAGCUUCCCUUUCUUAAAGCUACGGUGACAAUUUCAGAACGUAACCGGCUGUUACUGCAAUUUCAGUGGGAGGAAACUGUCGGGCGAGUGUCAUGUGCGAGCUCCGGAGGUAGCGUUCGAGACGUGAGAAAUAAGCAAGUUUACAUUACAGUUAUGUCUCAAGAAUCGAUACCUCUCAAGAAUCUCUCGAAAUGAUCCUUAAAGGGAUAUUUCGGGAUUUUGGCAAUUGCCCCUUAUCUAUUUCCCCAGAAUCAGAUGAAAUAUUGGAUACCUUGUUUAUGUCUCUGUGACAAGUAUGAAGGAAGUUAGAGGUAGUUUUGCAAUUCAAUGCUAACUAGCAUUAGCGCAAUGGCUGGAAG
rnacentral:lncRNA from 1 species